UUCUGAUAAUUUUCCUUUAAAAGUUUAUAAUUAUGGAUGAAAACGAGUGUUCUUUAUUUGUGUUUUCAUGAGAUCAAUUCCUGCUUCGUUAGCCUGCGGCCUAUCCUCUCUCUCUCACUCUCAUUUUUACUUCAUCUUGAGAUCACGCAAGUAGAAGUCUUUGCCAGUAUUUUAUCAGUGUUUUACACCGCAUUUAGCUUUCAAGGCCACAAGCUUUAUUUGAUGGGUGUUGUUUAUUUUUAGAGGAAGCCGCCAAUGUUGUGAGACAAAGAAACAAAAGGGGGUUUGAAUUGAUUAAAGGGAAGUGGGUUUUAAAGAGGAGUGAGAAAUGUCUCGUUAUGAUUGUAUGCUUUUGGAGCUUUGCUAAAGCCCCAAAUAGAGGAGGUGGCUCUUGUGGACCUGGUUUCACAAGUUGAGUUCUUACUGAUAUUAAGUAUUUUGGGAAUAUACAUUUGGGCUAUGGUAUCAAGAAAGUAGAUGGAAGAUGAUACCAGCGUCAACUAAUGCAAAUGACAAUGGUGUGACCCCUAACUUCAACAAGGAAUUCCAUUACCUCAAUAAGGAAGAGUGUGCUUCAUGGGCUUCUAGUGAAACAUAACAAUACCAAAUAUGGACUCGAAUUUAUAAGUGACUCUUCAAAAGAUGAGUUCGCUCAAUUCCCAAGAAAUGGUAUGUACGAAGAUGACGUCAAACUCACUCUUCAAAAGAUGAGCUCGCUCAAUUCCCAAGAAAUGGUAUGUACGAAGAUGACGACAAUGAUGACAACGACGAAAAAGAACCAGAUGACGAGUCUCAGGCCUAAGUCUUGAACUAGGUUCGAAUCUCGAGCUUUGCAAGCUGUACCUGCUGCUCUAAGGUUUGGGAAAGGUUUUUUAAAUAAUUCUCAAAUAUAAUCAGAAUUACUUGUAAAAUGUUUUGAUGAUGUCUUUGUUGACUGAUUACUUAGUUACAAUUUUUUUGCAGACCUACAGAAAUUUGGUUUUGGGUUCUACUCUGUUGGGAGUUUUUGUGAAUUUGUCCUAAGAUGCAUGUAUGAGAGAGAGAGAGAGAGCAAACCUUUUUUUUCCUCCCCCUUCCCCCUCUGUUUCUCUCUCUUUAUUUUGGUAAUCCACGGACGAAAUGUAGACCCUUGCAAA